GAUGAACGCUGGCGGCGUGCCUAAUACAUGCAAGUCGAGCGAACAGACGAGGAGCUUGCUCCUCUGACGUUAGCGGCGGACGGGUGAGUAACACGUGGAUAACCUACCUAUAAGACUGGGAUAACUUCGGGAAACCGGAGCUAAUACCGGAUAAUAUAUUGAACCGCAUGGUUCAAUAGUGAAAGACGGUUUUGCUGUCACUUAUAGAUGGAUCCGCUCCGCAUUAGCUAGUUGGUAAGGUAACGGCUUACCAAGGCAACGAUGCGUAGCCGACCUGAGAGGGUGAUCGGCCACACUGGAACUGAGAAAAGGUCCAGAAUCCUACGGGAGGCAGCAGUAGGGAAUCUUCCGCAAUGGGCGAAAGCCUGACGGAGCAACGCCGCGUGAGUGAUGAAGGUCUUCGGAUCGUAAAACUCUGUUAUUAGGGAAGAAAAAAUGUGUAAGUAACUAUGCACGUCUUGACGGUACAUAAUCAGAAAGCCACGGCUAACUACGUG
rnacentral:rRNA from 1 species